AACAAAGAGUACUAUGUAUGUGAUAAUUCAUGUUGCUUGCACUUCUCAAUAAUAACAACAAAAGUCAUGGUAAAGAUAUCCGUGAUAUUCAAAAUUAUGGUUUCAAAUGCCAUGGUUCAAAAAAGAACUCUCAAAUCCAUUCAUAGUUCGCUAUCAAAGAAACAUGUGCAGUGCAAGUGCAAUUGUUUUUCCAAAGGCAGUUUCUGUUGUACUUUCGAGUACUCUCAACAAUCAAAUUGGAUGCUCUAUCACGGCUUGUAUUCACUAAUGCCACAAUUCAACAAAAUCACUGAUCAACUUCAACUCCACAGAGAAAUUUUGAACAAUCUCAUGUAG